rnacentral:misc_RNA from 1 species
UGAGUUCAUCACUUUGACUUGGAAGAGCUGCAAACAUGAAGUUGUACCUUAGCCUCUUGGUGCUGGUUGGCCUCGUUGCCUUCUGCAUGUCUGCUCCUGCUGCUGAUAAUCUUGAAGACAAUCCAGCUGAUGAAAACCUCCUCGAAGACGUCGAAGCUCCUGAAACCGAUGAAAUUCAAAAUGACGAGGAUCUAGACAAGAAUGCUGAAGAAAGCGAGGACGAAGCGCAAGAGGACGAGAAUCCUGUCGAAAAUGAUCCGAUGCCUAGGAGGAGAUUGAUACGAACUUGUUCACGGUAUUCAAGGUGCUUAUAUCAAGCACGUCGAUUAUUUGGGAUCCGCUACAAAGUUUGUAAAAUUAGAUGCAGAAACAAAUAUUGCAUUCUUGGAGCCAGGAUAAAGUUUAGAAAGCAUACAAGACGAUGUCGUCUGCUGUAUAGUCGAUGUAGAUUAAGAUGCUUCAGCCUCAGGCACUACAGAUUAAAACGCGCCUGCCUUCGACGUUGUUAAAUCAUAUGCCUUACAGGCUGGCUUACACUUCACUAACACUACUGUCGCAUAAUAGAUUAUUUUAUGAAACUCACAUAUUUGUGUUAAUUAAUACUCCAGGAUAGAUGUCAAGAAGCACAGGUACUUUGUACUAUCAGUCUUUAGAAUUCAACAACAAAUAGUCGUCCGCUCUUAUUGGUGGAUAGUCGACCACGUGACGCGAUUCUGCACGCUGUGAAUGGCAACUAUCAGUACAUAUAGAGGCCACCGCUUCAGAAAAUAAUGUCGUUGAAUAGUAAAAACGUACAGAAGGGCAACUGAAAUCUCGUGCAUCCCAGUUUUGGCGGGCAGCUAUCACAGAAUAAUGAUUUCGAUUCAACUAAUCUCGUAUUUUUUAAAUAAGAUUAUCAUUAUCAAUACUGACGGAAACAAUCUUGCAAUUUAAUAUUCCAAUUUACUAAAGUUGGCAAAAGUUAUUUUCACAAUUUCCUCAAUUUGGAAUUUUGGUAGUUAUCGAAAAUAGACCAAUAGUUUGCCAACCUCAGUACAAAGGUUUCAUAUAUUGAAGUAUUCUUCACUAUUCGUAGAAAUUAUCUUUUUUUAUGUCUAGCAUAAAUGAAGUGUACCGAAAGUGUAAACCAGCCUUUAGGUCUAGUGAAUCGCAAUGCACUCUAUAUCAACCACAAAAUAAUGGUUUAGAUUACCUGAAUUUAAACCUAACUAAUUUUCCAAAUAUUCUUAUCAAUCCCAGUAAAGUUAGGAACUUUACAGCUCUCUGGCUCAUAGUGCAUUGUGAUUAACAAGGUUUCCUUACAGAACAGGAUCGGAAAACGGUUUUUGAAACAUAUGUAGGACAGCACUAAACAAGUUUAGAAAUAAUUAAUGUACAAUGUAGUUUUACAAGACGUGGUGCUCUUGGCUUUCAUAUAACAUCGUCUAAGUACUAGAAUCAGGAUAUUUUCAAUGCAGACCGACAGCAUUUGUAACUGCUCUGUUUUGUACGGCCUGAUCGUACUCUUACAACUGAGACUUGCUUCAAACGGCGAAAAUGGGAAGGAGGCAUUUGACAAAGAAACGAAAUUCCUUGCAGCUAAAAUAACUUGUGGUCUUGAAAAUAUUUUGAUCGCUAUUUUACUUUGGUUAAUUUGUUAAUAGGCUUGGGUACAUGGUGAUAAAUAUAAUCAGUUAUCAAUAUAGCUAAUAGUUAGGAUUUAACACUCAAAAGGUUGUAAACUUAAUGCAAUCAAUUAUAGUUGUUUUUCACAAAUUAAAGCAUUGGAAAAACG